rnacentral:rRNA from 1 species
AUUGAACGCUGGCGGCAGGCCUAACACAUGCAAGUCGAACGAGUGGCGGACGGGUGAGUAAUGUCUGGGAAACUGCCUGAUGGCGGGGGAUAACUACUGUAAACGGUACCUCAUACCGCUUACCCUCGUAUGUGCCCAGAUGGGAUUAGCUAGUAGGUGGGGUAACGGCUCACCUAGGCGACGAUCCCUAGCUGGUCUGAGAGGAUGACCAGCCACACUGGAACUGAGACACGGGCCAGAGUCCUACGGGAGGCAGCAGUGGGGAAUAUUGCACAAUGGGCGCAAGCCUGAUGCAGCCAUGCCGCGUGUAUGAAGAAGGCCUUCGGGUUGUAAAGUACUUUCAGCGAGGAGGCGUUACCCGCAGAAGAAGCACCGGCUAACUCCGUGCCAGCAGCCGCGGUAAUUC